GGAAGUAGAAGUCGUAACAAGGUUUCCGUAGGUGAACCUGCGGAAGGAUCAUUCAUAAUAAAGUGUUUUAUGGCACCUUUUAAAAAUCCAUAUCCACCUUGUGUGCAAUGUUAGAUCUCGUCAAUCUUGGCGAGAUUUUUAUACAUCAACUCAUUCUUUAACUAAUUUGUCUGAAAAAUAUUAUGAAUACUUAAUUCAGAAUACAACUUUCAACAACGGAUCUCUUGGCUCUC
rnacentral:misc_RNA from 1 species